GUUUGUUGUUUUUCUUCUUUUUUAAAAUUCUAAUACACAUCGAAAUACAUCCUUAACUCCAAACACAUUCUCCCACUGGCACCUCAGAAUAAAUCAAGGGGAGGAUAAGAAAACAAAAAAGGAAUACAAAUAAAGCAUGGGCACCUGGGAGAAAUCAUAACUAGGCUGAUUAGUGAGGCCAACGUUUGCACCAUCUACCACUAUACAUCAAAUGGAUUCUUUAGACACUCCUGGACGAGGUGCACCUAGAAAGUUGAUCCCACAUUCUUUCACCUGAAUGCCUGUGCAUCUUCUCAAACGCGAAGAACUUCGUCAUUUUCCGGCGCUUCGCCGCGAGUUCUCGUGGUGGAUCGUCGGAGAAGUGCAGAGGGAUGAACU
rnacentral:misc_RNA from 1 species